ACAGCUAUAUCAUUUUGAAACAUCAGUUCUUGUCUGAUCACCCAAAUUAAGCAAUGUUGAGCCUGAUCAGUAUUUAGAUGGGUGACCUCUUGGGAAUACCUAGA